rnacentral:piRNA from 1 species
GAGGCGACUGCGGGCAGGUAAGAGUCCUU